CCUGUGUCCCCUACCUCAGCAGGUGGACUCAUCCACUGCACCUGAAGGGAAGUCUUAUACUUACCUUUGAAUAACAGCAUUUGGGAGAAGGGGAAUGCAAGUGACCUAGACUGGUUCACAGAUGUUCAAAUUCUUGCCCUACAGGUGGAGGCCAGGAGCGGAUGGACCUGGAGUUCUAUGUGCUUGGGCUUGGUCUGGAUGGGCCACUGCUGCUCUUGGACUACCAAGGAUGCACCAAGGAAGAUGAUCAACAGGCACCCAGGAAGGAUGCUGUCUUCAGAUAUAAGACUCCAGUAAUCCAAGACUAUGCCCCAGCCACAAAUGACGAAGAAGCUGAAGUUGAACAGUUCUAUGAGACCUACAAGACCUUCUAGAAAUAACACCAACAAUAGUUGUCGUUUUCAUCAUAAGGGACUGGAAUGCAAAAGUAGAAAGUCAAGAGAUACCUGGCAUAACAGGUGAGUUUGGCCUUGGUGUACAAAAUGAGGCAGGCAGAGGCUAUCAGAGUUUUGCCAAGAGAACCCAUAGCAACACCCUCUUCCAAAACACAAGAGAAGACUUUACACAUGGACAUCACCAGUUGAUCAAUACUGGAAUCAAAUUGAUUAUAUUCUUUGCAACUGAAGGUGGAGAUGAUUUAUAUAGUCAGCAAAAACAAGACUGGGAGAUGACUGUGGCUUAGAUCAUGAACUCCUUAUUGCUAAAUUCAGACUUAAAUUGAAGAAAGUAGGGAAACCCACCAGACUAGUCAGAUCAUAUCAGAUCAGAUCAGUUGCUCAGUCGUGUCCGACUCUUUGCGACCCCAUGAAUCGCAGCACGCCAGGCCUCCCUGUCCAUCACCAACUCCUGGAGUUCACUCAGACUCACGUCCAUCGAGUCAGUGAUACCAUCCAGCCAUCUCAUCCUCUGUCGUCCCCUUCUCCUCCUGCCCCCAAUCCCUCCCAGCAUCAGAGUCUUUU
rnacentral:lncRNA from 1 species